rnacentral:rRNA from 1 species
GACGAACGCUGGCGGCGUGCUUAACACAUGCAAGUCGAACGGAAAGGCCCUGCUUUUGUGGGGUGCUCGAGUGGCGAACGGGUGAGUAACACGUGAGUAACCUGCCCUUGACUUUGGGAUAACUUCAGGAAACUGGGGCUAAUACCGGAUAGGAGCUCCUGCUGCAUGGUGGGGGUUGGAAAGUUUCGGCGGUUGGGGAUGGACUCGCGGCUUAUCAGCUUGUUGGUGGGGUAGUGGCUUACCAAGGCUUUGACGGGUAGCCGGCCUGAGAGGGUGACCGGCCACAUUGGGACUGAGAUACGGCCCAGACUCCUACGGGAGGCAGCAGUGGGGAAUAUUGCACAAUGGGCGGAAGCCUGAUGCAGCAACGCCGCAUGCGGGAUGACGGCCUUCGGGUUGUAAACCGCUUUCGCCUGUGACGAAGCGUGAGUGACGGUAAUGGGUAAAGAAGCACCGGCUAACUACGU